rnacentral:lncRNA from 1 species
UAAUUAUAAGAUAAUUGCAAUUGGGCCAUGGAUUGCCUUAUAUUAUAAGGUUGGACGAAUUCUAUGGGGAAACCCAUUAGAAAUCGUCCAAGGCCUUUAAGGAAAGGAGUCCAUGGGUUGCUUAGGGCUUAAGCAUCCAAAUUAGGGUUUCCUUGUUAGAUAACCCUAAUGGCCUCACUAUAUAUAGAACCCUUAUGCCCCAAAAAUGUGAACAAGCUUACUUCUAGGGUUUCCACACUUUUUGGGCAGCCUCCUUCUCUUUUCUUCUUCAUCCUCUUGCUCUUGGUGUUUGUGAACCAUUAGAGGAGUGACAUUUGUGACUCUAAGCUUUCUAAAGUCAAUACAAGAAGGAUUUGAGAUUGUUAUUGCUACAUAACAAUCAAGGUAUGAUCUAAACCCUAAUUUAUAUGUUAUAUUGAUUAUCAUAUGCUAGAUCUAGGGUUUAUAGUCUUGGAUAACUUGCAUGUACAAUAGAGAAACCUAGAUCCAAGCAUUAGGGUUUGUAUGAGCACAUAGGAUGUUCUUAUGACCAAAACCCAUCAGUGGUAUCAGAGCCUUGAUUGGUUUCUAUUGUAUUGAUGCCUUGUAUGUUUGUUCAAGCAUUAGGGUUUGUACGAGUAGGCCCCUACUCGACGAGUCCAUAUGGGUACUCGGCGAGUUCGAGCGUCAGAAAUAGGGGAUUUCGAGAUUUCUUGCUGUUUUUCUCAUGGAUAAUUGCCUUAUCUUUUUUAGAUCAUUAAAAUCCGAUUUUAAUCAUAUUUAUGAGUAUAUCCUUGAUUAAACAAAAGAUAAUUACCAAUUGAUUAGAUAAUAACUUCCUUAUAUGAUUAAAGUUGAUUAUUUGUAUUAAUUGGGUAACUUAUUUUGCAAGAAAUUGAAAUUAGGUCAAAUAUAGAUAAUGAUGAAAUUAAUUGUUUAAUUUAUAUUAUUUGUUAUUUGAUCCUUGUGUUAUGAAAAGUUUCAAUUUUUCCCUUUAGGUUUUAUAGUUUAAAUUUGAACUCAAAAGUUUUGUUUUGAAAUUUAAAUAGUUGAAACCCUAAUGUUUUGAAAAAGGUUUCAAAACUUGCCCUCAAGUUUUGGAAUUUAAAUUUUGAUUAAAAGUUUAAUUUUGAUGUAUAUUUAAAUUCUAAACCCUAAUGUUUUGAAAUGUUUCAAAACUUGCCCUCAAGUUUUGGAAUUUAAAAGUUGAUUAAAAGUUUAAUUUAGGAAUGUUAAAUUCUAAAACCCUAGUAUUGUUUUGAAAAGUUCAAAUCACACCCUUAUGGUUUUAUUAAUUAAUUAAGGUGUAUAAUUAAAAGAGGUUUAAUAAAUCCAUAAAGUUUUGGUUUACAAUUUAAUUGAAUUAAAAGUAUAAUUGUUAAAUUUAACCACCUAGUAUUUUAAAAGUGUAAAAUACACCCUAUACUAUAUAUAACAUUAAAAGUCUAACAUUAUAUAUAUGUAUGAGUAAAAGUCAGUCUUACCGUUAGUAGGCCUCAUUCACGAAGCUGGUCUAUAAGGGGUGUUUAAGGAAAUUGCCUAUAAAAUGGCGAUUGAAUGGGUAUACACUCUUACCCACCGCACUCUUGACUACUGGAGGGUCGUUAGCCGAACGGGUAGGAUAGGACAAAACCUUCCAUUAUAAGUAUAAUGAAGUACAAAAGUAACUAAAGGUUUUACAAAUUCCCAAUCUUAGUUACUAAAUGUUUUCAUAGAUUUAAAACUUAAUUUUUUUUUUCAUUUUUCAUGGUGGAAAUUAGUGAAUCGUCAUUCACUUACCCUCAAAUAUUCUGCAACUAGAUUACGGCAUCCCUUUUCUAGCUUGUAGCAUAUUGUGUUGGGUCCUAGCCUUAAUAUCUCAUUUGGGUGAUUUUUUAAGGACUCAAUCAAUCAACUAACUUGAAUUCGUUUUCUCCCGUUUUGUAGAUGUCAAAGUAUGACAACUAUGGUCUUCCCAAAUCCCGUGGAACAAGCAUUCCACAUGAAGAUGAUAUUCCACGAUUCGAUCGAGGAACAAAAGAUCAUGCUUCACUUCCUCCACCUCCUCUAAUUAUUCUCCCUAACCCACAAGUUCGAAGACUUGAAAAGUUCAAGCUCACUCAAGCCCUUUUGGCAAGUAAACAUAAAGAAGGAAAGUUGGUAUGUACACACGUCCUAGGGAUGAAGUCACACAUUGAUAGGUGAAGAAUAUUAGGAUCCGUUGUCUGUGGGGAGAUGGCCGUUGACUGGGUUCUUCAGUCACUUCCUAACUCGUAUAGUGAGUUCGUAAGAGAGUACUAUAUGAUGAACCACGACGUGACCCUUAUAGAUCUCACCUACAUGCUUAUUGCCGCUGAAUCAACAAUGAUUUCGCGCAAUGGAAAAAACAAAGUUGAUUGGUGAAUCUGCCUUCGAGACCUCUGUGGAUAUAGACAAUGGCAACGAAAGACAUGCAAUGAUCGAAAAGUUUGAUCAUAAGAGAAAGGCGAUGUCUGAAGUAGUUCCAUGUCCUGUUCCAAAAGAGUCGAUUUGCUUUUAUUGCCAAGAGAAGGGGCAUUGGAGACGAAGCUGCCCCAUUUACCUAAGAGAUCUAAGAGAAGGAGAGUCAAAACGUAUGGCUCUGCGUUAGGUAAAAAUCCAUUAACUAACUCUUUUAAGCUUCUAUUCUAGAUUCUUAAUACAUAAUGUGAUAAGAUUACAAUUGAUGUUUUGUAGGAUCGAAGAAAAGAAAGGAAGCUUAAGGGAAGAAGUGAGCAGAAUCUAACCGUGAAGGAAUGGAUUUCGAUCGCAUUUCUCGAAGAUUAGAUUCUUGAGCUACUACUUAGAGUUAGAAUAAGAUUGCUAAGAAAGAUGUAUUAGCAUAGUUUUUCAAUGAAUUGCAUUGUAAGGACAAAUUUUUCCGCAAUAAAAUAAAUUUUGAUUUUAAAUUAUUUAUUUAUCCUUGCAAUGGCGUAUAUGAAAAAUUGAUGUUUGAAUGUUUCUAAUAUUAGCAAUAAUGGAUUUGAUUCUUAAUUAUAUUAUUUGUGGAAAUGUCGAGAAUUUACCAAAUAGGGAGAGUUUCUCAUCGCCCAAGUUUCAAUUGGACAGAAACUUGGAAUCAUGCAACUUGGUUGCACGAUGAAUGAGAAAUUUCAUAUUUGGAAAUUAGACUAAUUCAUUGACAAAGUGUCAAGUGAAGGACUAGGAGAUCGAGUACACAAAGUUGCGUGUUGAUCAAGUCCACCAUAAGAGUAACAAAGAUAUUCGUCAUGAUUUACUAAAGGUUUAGUAAAUAUGAUUAUACUUAUAAGAUUAAGUGUAAUUCUGAAUUGAUUGAAAAGGGUUUAAUCAAUAGCAGAACGAAUAAGAAGAAUCAAGUAGGCAGAAAGAUAAAAGUUUCUCCAUUCUAAGAAGAAGGGAGAGUAGCUUUUAUGCUUUAUGAUAGGUCUUAAUGAUUAAGAACCAUAUCUCAAUUGAUCCUCUAAGUGAGUCUUAGUACAAUUGUAUGUCUAAGAAGAGGAAUCAAGAAUUGAAGAAAUGGUUAAAUCAAGAAGUCAAUCAUACUUCGUUCCAAAACAAGUCUUAGAGUUAAGAUUGUGACAUUGAGUGAUAAGUAUUAAGAAGGUUUAUAACAUUCAUCAAAUGUGGAAAGUUGUGAUGUCUUGGAUAAGACAAAGACCAACUAGGACCAAUUUAUGAAGUGUUUUGAUAAAAGCUACACUAACUCUUGAAUAUUUGUUUGUCAAGAAAUGUUUAUUGACAAGAGAAUCUUAUAUGUCAAGGAGUCAGUGGGAGUCUUAAUGGUCUUGAAAGGUUUCAAGAACAAAUCAAAUAAACCUUAUCGAUCAUCACUAGCACACGAGUUGAGGUUUACAACCUAUCGUGUUGACAUUAUUUUGUUUCUGUGCCAAUCCAAUCGAGUUAAUUAUGCAUGUGAGUUCUAUGAGUUCUCAUUUGAAUGCAUAAAAGGCAAGGACCUUGAUCAAUGGAAAGUACAUUGAUAAGAAAAGGUGAGCUGCUUAACUACUUGGAAGACAUGGUGGGCAGCUGUGCUACCAUAAGGCAAGAAAUCAAGAUUAAGAAAGUUCGGUCCAUAUGAGUUUGAAUUUGUCGUAAACUUUGGUUUUAACAAAUUCACAUGGAUAGGAACACAUACACCGUUUAAAUCUAAGUGUCAUAAGAUUUCCUCCUUCAUGAAAAUGAUUGUGAGGAAAUGCUUUCACUAAGAAAGAUUUUAAGAAGAUAGUGAUUGUAAAAUUGCAUUCUCGAAUUCGAUUAUGGUUACGGUAUCCCUUUCCAUAAUUUGAAUUGUGAGGUUUGGCAAUUAGUCUUAAUUGUUUAGACACACAUAUGAACUAUCGAAGGCAAAGGUGUAUAAGUUCAAGAAGCCUUGAUAAAAGAUUAUCAAAGCACUAAGUAUUAGAAACAUGAACUUAAGAAAUUCAAUAAGUAUUGUUUUUCUGGAAGUUAAGAUGUUUAUGAAUACAUGUCGAAGCUAGUGGGAGCAUAAGUGUUAUGUUUUAUAAUAAUCAUCAUGAUAGUGGGAGCAUAAAUGUUAUGAUUGUAUGAUUAUUAAGGAAAGUAUUGCAAGUUGGCAAUAUUAAUUAUAGAAAACAAGAGUUAUACCUUGCAAAGUCGUAAGGGUUGUAAAGUUGUUUUGCUAUAAUUAAGGGAGAGAAUAUUAUGCUUCAUUUCAAAUCUAAAGGAUUAGGUUGAGAAAUGUUAAUAAAUUUAGUCAAGGGUACAUAGUGUGUUCUUAAAAUUUCGAUUAUGAUUACGGCAUUCCUCUUCACAAUUCGAAUUUUGAGAACAUAGCAAAUAAAACAUUAUGCGUCGUGUCCCAUACGCUUCGGGUAUAGGAUCGAUUGCAAAUGCUUUAAUGUUUGACCAUUCUAAAAUUUUCCAAAUGUCGAGCGCAUUUAGAGGGAAAAGGGACUAGAAUUGGUUUUGACUAAAAUAAUUAAACAACUAUCAAAGGACAAUCCAAAGUUCGACGAGGAUUGGUUGCUUGUGAGUAGUUGGAAGCAUGGUAUUGGAUGGACCAUAUCGACAUUAUUAUGAAUAGAAAAGAUUCUAUUAAGAAUGAGUUGUCAUAUGGAAAUUAUGGAAAUGUUUCCAUAUUGGAUGGACCAUAUCGACAUCAUUACGAAUAGAUAAGAUUCUAUUAAGAAUGAGUUGUCAUAUGGAAAAUAUGGAAGCGUGUCCAUAUUGGGAAUUGAAUAUUGAAAAUCUAUGUCUAGAUUAGAAACUUUUAUGCAAAAGGAUGUUCAAAGGAAUGUACUUUGAGUGAGAGACAUCAUAUCUAAGGAAUUGUCUUGUAACAAUCUCCGAUAGAGGACUUUGUAAUAUCAUUGGCAAUAGUCUUUGUGACUUUGGUGCAGUGACAUUACGAAAGGAUCAUUGCAUAGAAUGUUAGAAUCUAGCAUAUUCUAUAAGUAACAAGAAUUUGAUAUUCUCACACUUAUGAAAAAGGAUUUGGAGUUGUGAAAUGAGAAUGAUUGGAAAUGUGUUCAAUUUGAUCUAUUUCACAAAAGUAAGAACCAUAGGUAAACAUUGUGUGCAUGCUAAGAGCAUGGGACAAGUGUAGUAAUUCAAGUAAGAAGUUGAUUACCCGAAACGACAAAUAAUGAGUAAUCGAUAUGGUGAUAAAUAAAAGGUGUUUUAUUUAUACUCAAAGGUUUGAGGCCAUAUGGGAUUAGUAUUAUUCUUGUGUUUCACAUUUGCAUGUUUUGACUUCCAGAAUAAUUGAGUUUAUUAAGAAUAAUCGAAUUAUUCAAACGGGCCACAGUCGUUCAUAUGUUGGAAGUAGAUAUGAAUGAAGACUGUCGUGAAUUGGUGUGUGGAUUGUCUAAAGGGGUAUUAGACAUAAGCAAAUGUUUGCUGCAACGUUCAUGAGUGCUUAUGAAUAUGAUUUGAGCAUUGGAUUAAACCCACGCUCACUUGGAUCACUCCAUGAAUUGUAUCACGAGUGAUUGGUGAGACGAUAACAUCUUAUAUUCUUGAAACCGAGAUGUGUGAGUUGUAUCUUGCAAAUCGGUUGCACAUUGAUAAUAUGUAAACGCACUAGUAACUUGGUGUUAUAAAACAUAUUGUUGUGUGUGAUUCGGUGAGUGAGUGCAAGCAAGCAUUGUAUCAAAGUUUAUCCGUUCCUUUUAUCCAAAGUAGGAUAAAAGCGAUAUCUUUGGGCCCCUCGAUGAUUUAGUGAUGACAAACGUAAAUGCUCGGCCGGGCUAGGGCUAAUUUGAUUUGUUCAAUUAGUCAGUCGUCAUAAAUCGGAAAUCGAGAUAUAGUACAAAGAGAAUGAUUUGAAAUCAUAUCUCAUAUGAUAUCUAGAAUGGAGGAAUAUAUGAUCCCUUAUCUAAGGACACGCGUAUCUGAUAUGAUCAGAGUUGACAGCGGCUUUGGAAAGCUACGAUUGCAGAUCAGGAUCUGAAGUCAUACGCAGAAUAGUUAUUAGACUUAUCCAAGUGGGAGACUGUUGGAUUAGUGUCUAAGUCCAUAACUAUUUUGGUAUGUACUUGACCCGAUGGUGCAUGGUCCUUUUGGGUUGCCUUCACCAAAGCAACUUGAUAGGAUGAAUUAUGGAGAGAAAGGAUUAAAUAUGAUUUAUUAAUAUAUUAUGAGAAUAAUAUAUUAAAGGAGAAACCAUAUUGUUUAAUUAAUAUUAGUCAAGAAUUAAUAAGAAUUAAGUUUGUGACUAAAAGAGGUUAAUUAAACUUAAGGGGCUGGAAUUGUAAUUAUAAGAUCAUUGCAAUUGGGCCAUGGAUUGCCUUAUAUUAUAAGGUUGGAUGAAUUCUAUGGGGAAGCCCAUUAGAAAUCGUCCAAGGCCUUUAAGGAAAGGAGUCCAUGGGUUGGUUAGGGCUUAAGCAUCCAAAUUAGGGUUUCCUUGUUAGAUAACCCUAAUGGCCUCACUAUAUAUAGAACCCUUAUGCCCCAAAAACGUGAACAAGCUUC